rnacentral:rRNA from 1 species
UAUGUAGGGGGCAAGCGUUGUCCGGAUUUAUUGGGCGUAAAGAGCUCGUAGGCGGCUUGGCAAGUCGGGUGUGAAACCUCCAGGCUCAACCUGGAGACGCCACUCGAUACUGCUAUGGCUAGAGUCCGGUAGGGGACCACGGAAUUCCUGGUGUAGCGGUGGAAUGCGCAGAUAUCAGGAGGAACACCGAUGGCGAAGGCAGAUCUCUGGGCCGUAACUGACGCUAAGGCGCGAAAGCGUGGGGAGCGAACAGG